GGCAGAUCCUUUCCCACUGGUUCUGGAGGUCAGAAACAGUCUGCUGAACCUCUGGCUUCUUAAUUUUGUCAUUUUUUAUUAACAUUUCUCCUAGAGGUACUAUGUUCUGUAUUUUGGCAUCUCCUGCAUCUUUGAGAGCUAUGAUUUCCUUUAUUUGAUUAAUCCUUUCUUCUGGUGGUAACUCACUUUCCUGUGAGCUCAGAUUAUUAAUAGCCUUCUCAAGUUUUUUGAUCCAACUAGACAUAUCCUGGGCAAGUUCUUUGAAAUGUUCAUCCACUGAGAGUCCCUGAGUAUUUCCUGCCAUCUCAUUUACAUUUGUCAUUAGUGUUUGAUAUCUACUAACAAGAUCACUGGUUUCUGAAAUAAUUUCAUCUUCUGUCAG
rnacentral:lncRNA from 1 species